CUAAAAUCACUUUAUCUCUCGAUUUCUCUCUAUCUAGCAGCCCCCUCUAUGAUUUUCAUCCAUUUUCCCAGCCACUGCCAUCGAUUCAAAUCAGUUGCUGCCGUCGAUUCAAAUCAGUUGCUGCCAUGGAUUCAUCUUAAAAUAAGAAGAACAAGACGAAAACCGAUGUAAAUUUUUAUGAUUUUAUAGAUUUAUUAAGUUGUUUUAAUGUUAAUUUUUUUGAUUUGUUGAGUUUAUGAUUCUGUUUGGUUGCUGAGAAAAUUAUGGCUAAUUUAUUUUUGUUUUGUGUGUUUAUUGAACUAGACUUGAUUAUUUUCUCUUUCAUUAUAUUUAAACAUUAGUAAGUGAAUAAAAAAAUGCAUAUGGAGCAUGAAUUAAACAAAUAAAGAGAGAAGAAACAUAGAGGAUGCAGAGAAUUACGAAACGAGAGAGAGCUAUUUAUUCAUUUAUUUUUUCCACUCCGAACAGUUUUAUCAGCGAGGUGACAUAGUUGAAAGAGUAAUCGCAUUAACAGAGCAAUGGUCUUCAGAAUGUGAUACGAAUUGACCAGAAGCGACUCGGCUGACGGAAAAUGCCGGUUGGGUUGGUUUCGGAAGUGUCAA
rnacentral:lncRNA from 1 species